AUUAGUUCGUUAGUUAGAGCAGUAUAGUAUAGGUAGUAUAGUUUAUCCAUCUUGUAUUUGUAGUUAGAUUUGGAUGAAGAUUUGAAAAGCAAAGAUGGAGAGUUUGAAGCUCAUGUGAUAAAGGUAAUUUCUCUCCUAUCACUUUCUCUUUUGUAUUUAAGUUUAUGUUUAACUAUAAUACACGUUUGGAUCUUAUUCUUCAUGUUUAGUUAAAGUUUAUGUUUAGAGUUAUGGAUGAACUUUCUAUAUCUUGUUUGUGAUUUUUACUUGGUUAUUUGAUGAUAUUAUUUUGAACAUGUUAUUUAUCACUUUUGCUUUUCUAAUCAAAAUUAACUGGCCAUUAAUUGUGAUAAUCUUAAGGUAUUAAGUUUGCAAUGAGAAUUGAAAUUUAACAUUAGUUCAAAAAAGUAAUAGAUUUAGGGAGUACACUCACGAGAGUAGAGGUGCACGUUUGUAGCUUUAAUGACUUGUUUCAUAUAAUUAAAUAGAAAAAAUGAACUUGUAGAUCAUUCAUAACCGCGAGAGUAGGGAUGACUUAAUUACAAAUAUAGUUGAUUCACUACGAGAGUAGGUUUCACACACAUGAGGAAAUUACGUCAUAACUAGCCAAGAUAAUAACAUUCACUUAAUUGGUAACUUCACUUGCAAGAAUAGUAAGUAAUUUCAUACCUCUAGGAGCUUUUUAUUGUAUUUUUGUUAAUUUUACUGGAUAGAUUUAAUUUCUUGUACUUGUCAUAGUUUAAAUAAUAAGGAGUUCAAAAAACAUCGAUAAUUGACAAUCUUCCCUAUGGGAUCGAUACUUAAUACCCCUAUGCUCAAUAAAUGACUCAUAUACUUGUGAAAAAUUGCGUAUAGGAUAUUUAGGAUUUUAUAAAUGUAAAUUUUGAUUAUGGAUGAGUUAAUUGAUAUAUGUAUACUUCGCGCUCGUCAGUUAACUUGAGUCAUUAUGUCGAACCGAAACAUCUAUUGAUAAAGAAUCCAAGAUGUGCCCAAUCAACCUAUAAUUUGACAAAUCAAAAACAUUUAGAUAUAUUGAUGUAAAGAGUCCAAAGCUUGCUACGGACUCUAUCUAUAGUAGAGUAGAGAUUUUGGUUUAACUUAGUCAUACUGAUAAAAAAAAAAAACUAUUGUACUUUUGGAAGUCAAAUUUUUAAGAAGUAUUUUUCUUUUAACAACGAAAUAAUCCCGUGCCUUGCACGGGGCAUAACGCUAAUUCAAGUGAAAAGCGGAGAAAACUUUCAUUCAUGCAGUAUUUUCAGUGCGAAUCAUAUGAAUGAGUUUCAGAUUAAGAAUACUAUCUUACAUUUAAAAAAAAAAAAAAACCAUUGGUGAAGACAUUAAAAUUAUGCUGAAAAUCAUAGCCACGCUACCAUAGUUUUCAACUACAUCAAAACAUUCAAACUAAACCACUAGAACGAUAGUGACACUAGUAUUAGGUGGAAAAACAUGACGGAUUCUAGAGGGAUGGUGAUGCCGUUGUGGAGCAUGGAGAAUGGUUGACAGCAUAGACAGAAGGGAAGAGGAAUUUGUUUGUUGAUGUUGUUGAAUGUUAAUUGUUAAUGGUUAAUUCUAUCUUUCAGUACAGAAUCGCUAUAAGCGCAAAAAUUGCUUUGUUAUUCUUUUAACUGGUUUCGUAUUUUUACAUCAAAAGUCAACGGUUGUUUACUCUCUCACAUUUUGGCGAAAAUUUUUUUUUUUUUGCCCAUCACUUCUAAAAUGAAGCAAAAUAAAGCAGAAUAUUACAAAAUGGUAACUUAAUAUAGAUUUGAGAGGUAAAAUUGGAACAUUGCUUUAAUUUUUUUUCAAAUCUAGCUAUACUUGAUACGCAUAUGGCAUUAAAUCAAUAUAAAAAGGAAAAGAACUAAAAAUCAUAACCUAAAAAAAACCCAUCCAUAUAAAAUUAAAUUUUUCUGAGAAAAUAUCAUUAAAUCAGCACAAAAAGAAAAAUUGAAAAUUAUAACAUAAAAAACAAACUCCAAAAUUACAAAAUUUUGUAACUCAAAAAUUUUUAAUUUUUUCUGAGAGAAGGGUUUUUACGUUAUAGUUUUUUUUUAAGAGAGAAUUGAUUGUAUUUGAUAUUAUAUUUUUUUCUUAGAAACUCUUAAAUUAUGUUAGCAACAACCUGUUAUUGUAGGCAACUGUUCUACUCAUUUAUAUAUAUAUAUAUAUAUAUAUAUAUAUAUAUAUAUAUAUAUAUAUAUUUUUUCAUCAAAUACCUUUCACGCUCAUAAUUUGUGAGAAUUAUUGAGUUCAAACAAACACAGUGUGUGAUUUAAUUUACUAGUAAAUCACUAUGCUAAUAUGAUUCAAACCUUUUCCACGACUAGGCUAUUCAUUUAUGGCCAGAUAGGGUUUCAGUUAGUCAUGUUCCAUUCUUAAACAUACUUCUUGAACUUCACUCGAUUCUUUCUUUCUCUAGCUAUUUACUUUUUAUGUAAAGAUUUGUAAUACUUUCAAUUUUAGAUUGAGCUUUAAUUUUUUUCUUAGUAUUUAAAUUAUAGUUGAUAUUUGGAUUGAUUCUUUUUCCUCAUAAGUUUAGUUAUUACUUUUUUCUUUAAAAAUGUUGGAGAAAAAUCAACAGCCAUGAAGAACCAUUGGAAAAACAGAGAUCUGGUGCGUGGGCUCAAGAAGGGGAAACUUAUUCAAGAUUGGACGGUUGGAACCCACCAAGUUGAAUUUUGUUGUCAAACAAGUAUGACACAAUUGUUGCUAUUAUUUUAAUUGUUAACACAUGCAAACAGGGCCCAAAGAUGUUUUUAAUUUUUCCAAAAAAAAAAUUUAAUAAAAAUUAAAUGCCUGCGAAGAACUGCUACAAUAGACUGGGAGCAUUGGGCGCUGUAGGGUGAGAUUUUUUUUUCCAACCAAAUAAAAUGUAUAAGCUUUUAGUCAACUUAAGUCGUUAUGUUGAACCGAAACUUCUAUUGAUAAAGAAUCCAGGAUGUACCCAAUUAAUUGAUAGUUUGACAAAUCAAAAACAUUUAGAUAUAUUGAUGUAAAGUUUGAAGGAAUCUCACUAAAAAAUAGAUUAUUUGAGAGAUUUAGAAAGUUCAAACUUAAAAAGGAACCAAGACUU
rnacentral:lncRNA from 1 species